GUCACCUAGAAUGGAUUCAGUUCUUGUUCAACAUUCAUACGCAGCGCAGUUCGAAAAAUACUGAAAAAUCUCUAGGGCAAACGGAAGAUUUUUGUACGGAAGAAACAGCUAUCGGAUGAAAACUAAAUGAAAUCAGUGCAAAAAUACCAAAAACCAAAUGGUUAAAACGGAAAAAUAAUAAAUUGCAUGUUCAACUGAAUCGUUGUUGAUCAUCGCCUAGCCAUACGAGAAUUGUAACAACUCAACCAAACACAUGUACACGCACCCCGCCCCCCACACACGCCGUGCAACCCUUUUCGCGCCCACGCAUUUUACUAAACAAACAGCAAAGGAAUUUCGGCAUAAACAUAGACAAGAAAUUCAUUCCAAACAGUGAGCAAGAAGAAGAAGAAGCAGAAACAAAAAGUGAAAUAACCGCAAGAAAUAAAAAAUCAAAGAAGCAAGCAAAAAAGUAGUGAAUUGUGUUAUCGUUUUAAGUAAGAAAACAAAAAAUAUAUACAUACAAGCCACACGCGAGUUCUUAUCUCCUUCCAGCUAAACACAAAAAAGGGUUUCGCCACCAACGAAAGUAAUGAAUUUGCAGAAAAUCUUAAUGAGUUGAAGAAAACGAAAUGAAAAAUCUCCCAAGUUAUUUAUAAAUGUCUAUCAUUUGCAAGCUAACAAAUCAGUGAAGUGAAAACAUUUAAAAAAGGACGCCAAAAAAAAAGAAAAUAUUUGUAGUGUUGAGAAAAUCGUUGUAAUAAGGAAAGAAAGAAAAAUUGGAAUAGUUUAUUGAUGGCAUGCAAAACAUUGAAGCCAAAAAAUAUAUCAUCUCUAAAAACAAAAACAACAACAACAAUUGAAGGGACUUUGACAGGAAACGGAAAUAAUUGUGAAGAGCAUAAAGUUGUUUUCGGCAUGAACUAUAAUAAUUAAUAUGAAG
rnacentral:sRNA from 1 species